GACGAACGCUGGCUUCGUGCUUAACACAUGCAAGUCGAACGGAAAGGCCCUGCUUUUGUGGGGUGCUCGAGUGGCGAACGGGUGAGUAACACGUGAGUAACCUGCCCUUGACUUUGGGAUAACUUCAGGAAACUGGGGCUAAUACCGGAUAGGAGCUCCUGCUGCAUGGUGGGGGUUGGAAAGUUUCGGCGGUUGGGGAUGGACUCGCGGCUUAUCAGCUUGUUGGUGGGGUAGUGGCUUACCAAGGCUUUGACGGGUAGCCGGCCUGAGAGGGUGACCGGCCACAUUGGGACUGAGAUACGGCCCAGACUCCUACGGGAGGCAGCAGUGGGGAAUAUUGCACAAUGGGCGGAAGCCUGAUGCAACAACGCCGCGUGCGGGAUGACGGCCUUCGGGUUGUAAACCGCUUUCGCCUGUGACGAAGCGUGAGUGACGGUAAUGGGUAAAGAAGCACCGGCUAACUACGUGCCAGCAGCCGCGGUGAUACGUAAGGUGCGAGCGUUGUCCGGAUUUAUUGGGCGUAAAGGGCUCGUAGGUGGUUGAUCGCGUCGGAAGUGUAAUCUUGGGGCUUAACCCUGAGCGUGCUUUCGAUACGGGUUGACUUGAGGAAGGUAGGGGAGAAUGGAAUUCCUGGUGGAGCGGUGGAAUGCGCAGAUAUCAGGAGGAACACCAGUGGCGAAGGCGGUUCUCUGGGCCUUUCCUGACGCUGAGGAGCGAAAGCGUGGGGAGCGAACAGGCUUAGAUACCCUGGUAGUCCACGCUGUAAACGGUGGGUACUAGGUGUGGGGUCCAUUCCACGGGUUCCGUGCCGUAGCUAACGCUUUAAGUACCCCGCCUGGGGAGUACGGCCGCAAGGCUAAAACUCAAAGGAAUUGACGGGGCCCCGCACAAGCGGCGGAGCAUGCGGAUUAAUUCGAUGCAACGCGUAGAACCUUACCUGGGUUUGACAUGGAUCGGGAGUGCUCAGAGAUGGGUGUGCCUCUUUUGGGGUCGGUUCACAGGUGGUGCAUGCCUGUCGUCAGCUCGUGUCGUGAGAUGUUGGGUUAAGUCCCGCAACGAGCGCAACCCUUGUUCACUGUUGCCAGCACGUUAUGGUGGGGACUCAGUGGAGACCGCCGGGGUCAACUCGGAGGAAGGUGGGGAUGACGUCAAGUCCUCAUGCCCCUUAUGUCCAGGGCUUCACGCAUGCUACAAUGGCUGGUACAGAGAGUGGCGAGCCUGUGAGGGUGAGCGAAUCUCGGAAAGCCGGUCUCAGUUCGGAUUGGGGUCUGCAACUCGACCUCACGAAGUCGGAGUCGCUAGUAAUCGCAGAUCAGCAACGCUGCGGUGAAUACGUUCCCGGG
rnacentral:rRNA from 1 species